GACGAACGCUGGCGGCGUGCUUAACACAUGCAAGUCGAACGGAAAGGCCCUGCUUUUGUGGGGUGCUCGAGUGGCGAACGGGUAAGUAACACGUGAGUAACCUGCCCUUGACUUUGGGAUAACUUCAGGAAACUGGGGCUAAUACCGGAUAGGAGCUCCUGCUGCAUGGUGGGGGUUGGAAAGUUUCGGCGGUUGGGGAUGGACUCGCGGCUUAUCAGCUUGUUGGUGGGGUAGUGGCUUACCAAGGGUUUGACGGGUAGCCGGCCUGAGAGGGUGACCGGCCACAUUGGGACUGAGAUACGGCCCAGACGCCUACGGUAGGCAGCAGUGGGGAAUAUUGCACAAUGGGCGGAAGCCUGAUGCAGCAACGCCGCGUGCGGGAUGACGGCCUUCGGGUUGUAAACCGCUGUCGCCUGUGACGAAGCGUGAGUGACGGUAAUGGGUAAAGAAGCACCGGCUAACUACGUG
rnacentral:rRNA from 1 species